rnacentral:antisense_RNA from 1 species
AGUUUUGGCGGGCUGUACGGGGAGCCUUGUGCUCGCCGGUACCUUGUCCCGGUACGCCAACCCGUACAGUUCCGCUCCCCUG